GGAUGAAUAUUGGUCAAUGGGCGGGAGCCUGAACCAGCCAAGCCGCGUGAGGGAAGAAGGCCCUAUGGGUCGUAAACCUCUUUUGUCAGGGAACAAAAGCGAGUAUGUAUACUAGUCUGAGUGUACCUGAAGAAAAAGCAUCGGCUAACUCCGUGCCAGCAGCCGCGGUAAUACGGAGGAUGUGAGCGUUAUCCGGAUUUAUUGGGUUUAAAGGGUGCGUAGGCGGCGAUGCAAGUCAGCGGUAAAAGCCCGGGGCUCAACCCCGGCGAGCCGUUGAAACUGCAGUGCUAGAGAAGGCGAGAGGUACGCGGAAUGCGCAGUGUAGCGGUGAAAUGCUUAGAUAUUGCGCAGAACUCCGAUUGCGAAGGCAGCGUACUGGCGCCUGACUGACGCUGAGGCACGAAAGCGUGGGGGUCGAACAGGAUUAGAUACCC
rnacentral:rRNA from 1 species